rnacentral:lncRNA from 1 species
GGUGAACGUAGAUAAGCCAUUGUAAAUCCAUAUUCUUGAAUGGGUUUCUUAACUUCUUUGGGUGAUUGGUUGUCUUAGAGAUGAUACUUUCUUACGGGGCUUCACUUUUCUUCUUUAGCUGAAUUCAAGUGCUUGAGAAGGCAUAAAAGUUCCCAAUAUCAAUAACCAUUCUUUCACUUUGUCAGCUUUUGGUCUAUACUCAUACUAAGCUGACUUUCUCCGUCUGGUACAUAAUUAUUUUGAUAAAAUAAAUGCUCUGUAGGGUAGCUCUGCUGCAUUGGUUGAUUGUUAGUCUUAAGAGUUAAGACUUGUCUAGGGGGGCUUCACUUUUCUUCUUUAGCUGAAUUCAAGUGCUUGAGAAGGCAUAAAAGUUCCCAAUAUCAAUAACCAUUCUUUCACUUUGUCAGCUUUUGGUCUAUACUCAUACUAAGCUGACUUUCUCCGUCUGGUACAUAAUUAUUUUGAUAAAAUAAAUGCUCUGUAGGGUAGCUCUGCUGCAUUGGUUGAUUGUUAGUCUUAAGAGUUAAGACUUGUCUAGGGGGGCUUCACUUUUCUUCUUUAGCUGAAUUCAAGUGCUUGAGAAGGCAUAAAAGUUCCCAAUAUCAAUAACCAUUCUUUCACUUUGUCAGCUUUUGGUCUAUACUCAUACUAAGCUGACUUUCUCCGUCUGGUACAUAAUUAUUUUGAUAAAAUAAAUGCUCUGUAGGGUAGCUCUGCUGCAUUGGUUGAUUGUUAGUCUUAAGAGUUAAGACUUGUCUAGGGGGGCUUCACUUUUCUUCUUUAGCUGAAUUCAAGUGCUUGAGAAGGCAUAGAAGUUCCCAAUAACAAUAGCCAUUCUUUCACUUUGUCAGCUUUAGGUCUAUAAUCAUACUAAGCUGAUUUUCUCCGUCUGGUACAUUACUGUUUUGAUUAAAGAACUGCUCUGUAGUCUUCUGUUUCUAGUAUGAUUUGUUACGAAACAUCCAGCUCCAACCUACUAAUGAUGCUAAGCCAUUAGUGAGAUCUAAGUUCUUCCUUUUUUCUCCUUUUGGUACAUUACUAUUUGAUGAAAGAAAUGCUCUGUAGUGUAUGUCAAGCUGCUUGAAUAUUUUUUGAAUGUAGUCUGCACUAUCAUUGUCUGUUGCAGAACUUGCUGUUCAAUCCUACUUUUCUGCAAAACCAUUUGUAAUUUUUAAUUCUUGGAUGCUUCCUCUCUUUUUAGAUAUAGGGGUCGUCCCUAUUUGACAAAGUGUGGUUCCAUUUGUAUUGUUUAAUUCAUUUGUACAUGGCAUAUCCAUAUUAGUGUAACAUCUAAUAAAUUUCUCAUUUUAUGUUAACUUUGCUGUUUAUAGAUGC